GCACGGCCUGCUCCAGAGGUUCCCCUGGGGUCAGGCUGAAGCCCACAUCAGCUGAGACCACGUGCUUGCUUUGCUACUUCCCCUGCCCCAUUCUGCUUCCCUCACUCCCCUUCUCCUGAAAGCAUGCCCCAAUUCAUCGCUUGGAUGAGACUCUCCAUCUCAGGCUCUGCUUCUAGGGAACCCAGUCUAAGUCACGAUCCAUUCUGGAAGACCUUAACACUUUCCACUGACUGUGAGAGCUGCCGAAUACAUUUUGACCCAUGGGUGGUUCCUGUCCUUGGUGAUUCCCCGACCUCUGGUGAGAUCUUUUCCUCUCUGGCAAGCCUCUGGAUGUUCUGACUUCAGAGGGGUUCUGGCUGCAGCUUUAACUCAGCCAUAUGUUGUGACAGCUCUUGGAGCAGCAUUACACGGGAGCAAUAUCCUUCCUGCUAAUUGGAUCUCAGAAUUCAUUUUCGGACCAAAGACAUCAAAUAAACCCAGGAAAUACGAAGCCGUUUGCAGUUAUGACUUGAGACGAAUUGAGUUGUUCAUCCUCUAAAGUUGUGUUCUGUUCCUUAUCAGCCUCAUCUGAAAUCUCAGACACAAAAGCAGAGAUGUUUCUGCCAGGAGGGGCGGAAAGUUCGGUCUGGUUUUGAUAUGUGUCUGGAGAUGAUAAACUUGGGAAGGGAAAUAUAGCAGAUCCAAUCCUCCCUCCCCCAUCUCCAUUAGGUCUUUGGCCUUGAUAGAUUUCAAUAUCCUGUGCAGCUGAUGUCUGACCCACGCAUCAAGAAUACAGCCUUCACACACCUGCCGUGAGAAGCCCUCUAUGACCUUCUGCAGAGGGAGGGAACUGCCUAAGAGCUGCUGAGUGCAGGAAUGCAGGGUGCUAAGAAGCAGGUACCCAGUUUGGGGUUAAAAUAUGUAUAAUAUAUCCAUUUGAAUACCCAUCAAUAAAUAUCAGUCAUGCUCACUUUUGGGUGCUGGGGGUUAUUGGAGAUAUUGAUUCAUUUGUUUUAUGAGUGG
rnacentral:lncRNA from 1 species